rnacentral:rRNA from 1 species
UGUUCGGAGAGUUUGAUCCUGGCUCAGGACGAACGCUGGCGGCGUGCUUAACACAUGCAAGUCGAACGGGCCUGGCUUGGCGUUUUUGCGUUGGGUUGGGUGAGUGGCGAACGGGUGAGUAACACGUGAGUAACCUGCCCUCUUCUUUGGGAUAACGGUCUGAAAGGGCUGCUAAUACCGGGUAUUCACUUGCUUCCGCAUGGGGGUGGGUGGAAAGAUUCAUCUUUUUUUGGGUGUUUUGGUGGGGGAUGGGCUCGCGGCCUAUCAGCUUGUUGGUGGGGUGAUGGCUUACCAAGGCUUUGACGGGUAACCGGCCUGAGAGGGUGACCGGUCACAUUGGGACUGAGAUACGGCCCAGACUCCUACGGGAGGCAGCAGUGGGGAAUAUUGCACAAUGGGCGGAAGCCUGAUGCAGCGACGCCGCGUGAGGGAUGUAGGCCUUCGGGUUGUGAACCUCUUUCGCUCAUGGUCAAGCCGCAGCUUUGGGUUGUGGUGAGGGUAGUGGGUAAAGAAGCGCCGGCUAACUACGUGCCAGCAGCCGCGGUAAUACGUAGGGCGCGAGCGUUGUCCGGAAUUAUUGGGCGUAAAGGGCUUGUAGGCGGUUGGUUGCGUCUGUCGUGAAAUCCUCUGGCUUAACUGGGGGCUUGCGGUGGGUACGGGCUGGCUUGAGUGCGGUAGGGGAGACUGGAAUUCCUGGUGUAGCGGUGGAAUGCGCAGAUAUCAGGAGGAACACCGGUGGCGAAGGCGGGUCUCUGGGCCGUUACUGACGCUGAGGAGCGAAAGCGUGGGGAGCGAACAGGAUUAGAUACCCUGGUAGUCCACGCUGUAAACGUUGGGCACUAGGUGUGGGGGCCACCCGUGGUUUCUGCGCCGUAGCUAACGCUUUAAGUGCCCCGCCUGGGGAGUACGGCCGCAAGGCUAAAACUCAAAGGAAUUGACGGGGGCCCGCACAAGCGGCGGAGCAUGCGGAUUAAUUCGAUGCAACGCGAAGAACCUUACCAAGGCUUGACAUGCGCCCUGUUCCUGCAGAGAUGUGGGGUCAUUUGGUUGGGGGUGUACAGGUGGUGCAUGGUUGUCGUCAGCUCGUGUCGUGAGAUGUUGGGUUAAGUCCCGCAACGAGCGCAACCCUUGCCCUAUGUUGCCAGCACGUUGUGGUGGGGACUCGUGGGGGACUGCCGGGGUUAACUCGGAGGAAGGUGGGGAUGACGUCAAAUCAUCAUGCCCCUUAUGUCUUGGGCUUCACGCAUGCUACAAUGGCUGGUACAGAGGGUUGCGAUGUCGUGAGGCGGAGCGAAUCCCUUAAAGCCGGUCUCAGUUCGGAUUGGGGUCUGCAACUCGACCCCAUGAAGGUGGAGUCGCUAGUAAUCGCAGAUCAGCAACGCUGCGGUGAAUACGUUCCCGGGCCUUGUACACACCGCCCGUCACGUCACGAAAGUUGGUAACACCCGAAGCUCAUGGCCUAACCAUCGUUGUGGUGGGGGGAGUGGUCGAAGGUGGGAUUGGCGAUUGGGACGAAGUCGUAACAAGGUAGCCGUACCGGAAGGUGCGGCUGGAUCACCUCCUUU